rnacentral:rRNA from 1 species
UACGUAGGGUGCAAGCGUUUGUCCGGAAUUAUUGGGCGUAAAGAGCUCGUAGGCGGUUUGUCGCGUCUGCUGUGAAAACCCGAGGCUCAACCUCGGGCCGCAGUGGGUACGGGCAGACUAGAGUGCGGUAGGGGAGAUUGGAAUUCCUGGUGUAGCGGUGGAAUGCGCAGAUAUCAGGAGGAACACCAAUGGCGAAGGCAGAUCUCUGGGCCGUAACUGACGCUGAGGAGCGAAAGCAUGGGGAGCGAACAGG